UGAGAGCCUGAUCCAGCCAUCCCGCGUGAAGGACGACUGCCCUAUGGGUUGUAAACUUCUUUUGUAUAGGGAUAAACCUACCCUCGUGAGGGUAGCUGAAGGUACUAUACGAAUAAGCACCGGGCUAACUCCGUGCCAGCAGCCGCGGUAAUACGGAGGGUGCAAGCGUUAUCCGGAUUUAUUGGGUUUAAAGGGUCCGUAGGCGGAUUUGUAAGUCAGUGGUGAAAUCUCACAGCUUAACUGUGAAACUGCCAUUGAUACUGCAAGUCUUGAGUGUUGUUGAAGUAGCUGGAAUAAGUAGUGUAGCGGUGAAAUGCAUAGAUAUUACUUAGAACACCAAUUGCGAAGGCAGGUUACUAAGCAACAACUGACGCUGAUGGACGAAAGCGUGGGGAGCGAACAGGAUUAGAUACCCUGGUAGUCCACGCCGUAAACGAUGCUAACUCGUUUUUGGGACGCAAGUUUCAGAGACUAAGCGAAAGUGAUAAGUUAGCCACCUGGGGAGUACGUUCGCAAGAAUGAAACUCAAAGGAAUUGACGGGGGCCCGCACAAGCGGUGGAUUAUGUGGUUUAAUUCGAUGAUACGCGAGGAACCUUACCAAGGCUUAAAUGGGAAAUGACAGGUUUAGAAAUAGACUUUUCUUCGGACAUUUUUCAAGGUGCUGCAUGGUUGUCGUCAGCUCGUGCCGUGAGGUGUUAGGUUAAGUCCUGCAACGAGCGCAACCCCUGUCACUAGUUGCCAUCAUUAAGUUGGGGACUCUAGUGAGACUGCCUACGCAAGUAGAGAGGAAGGUGGGGAUGACGUCAAAUCAUCACGGCCCUUACGCCUUGGGCCACACACGUAAUACAAUGGCCGGUACAGAGGGCAGCUACACAGCGAUGUGAUGCAAAUCUCGAAAGCCGGUCUCAGUUCGGAUUGGAGUCUGCAACUCGACUCUAUGAAGCUGGAAUCGCUAGUAAUCGCGCAUCAGCCAUGGCGCGGUGAAUACGUUCCCGGGCCUUGUACACACCGCCCGUCAAGCCAUGGAAGUCUGGGGUACCUGAAGUCGGUGACCGUAACAGGAGCUGCC
rnacentral:rRNA from 1 species